AAUCAACGCUGGCGGCGUGCCUCAGACAUGCAAGUCGAAUGCGAAAGUUCCCUUCGGGGGAUGAGUAGAGUGGCGCACGGGUGAGUAACACGUAGGUAAUCUACCUUCGGAUGGGGAAUAACAACCGGAACGGUUAGCUAAUACCGCAUAAUGCAGCGGCACCUAAUGGUGACAGUUGUUAAAGCGGGGGAUCGAAAGACCUCGCGUCUGAAGA
rnacentral:rRNA from 1 species